rnacentral:rRNA from 1 species
AACGAACGCUGGCGGCAGGCUUAACACAUGCAAGUCGAACGCCCCGCAAGGGGAGUGGCAGACGGGUGAGUAACGCGUGGGAACAUACCCUUUCCUGCGGAAUAGCUCUGGGAAACUGGAAUUAAUACCGCAUACGCCCUACGGGGGAAAGAUUUAUCGGGGAAGGAUUGGCCCGCGUUGGAUUAGCUAGUUGGUGGGGUAAAGGCCUACCAAGGCGACGAUCCAUAGCUGGUCUGAGAGGAUGAUCAGCCACAUUGGGACUGAGACACGGCCCAAACUCCUACGGGAGGCAGCAGUGGGGAAGACUGGACAAUGGGCGCAAGCCUGAUCCAGCCAUGCCGCGUGAGUGAUGAAGGCCUUAGGGUUGUAAAGCUCUUUCACCGAUGAAGAUAAUGACGGUAGUCGGAGAAGAAGCCCCGGCUAACUUCGUGCCAGCCGCCGCGGUAAGAC